AUUCCAAGCAGCCAUGCGGACACCCCUCACCUCUAAGCUUCUGAAAAUUUGAGGGGUAAAGGAAUCGCAAGCCCUCCCCACAUCUGUCUGGCUGACAUCGUGGCUGCAUUAACGAGAUGCAGAGGAAGAACUGCAGAAUUUGACCAGGAACCCCCAUCUAUUUUUGACAGAAUAUUAUCAUUUUUAUGGUUUAAACAAGCACAGAACUUCCUCUAAAAGAAUUGGCCUAAAGGAGAAAUAAGUCCCAGCAUCUGAAAUGAUACUGCUAUGCAAAGAAAACACCCCUUCUGAAAAACUAGAGAAAACACCUCUCUAUGAAAUGCAUUUGCCACAAGAAAUAACAAGUUUUUAGAAAACGGGUGAUCCAUGGACUUAAAUUUCAAGUGGGUAUUGCAUUUAUUAAUCCCAUUAAGCAGUUCUGAGAAGAAAAUCAUCUCUGAGCAAGAGAGAUGGGCAUUGAAAAACGUUCCUGGAUUCACCUAUCUUGACUUCUUUGUACCACGCAUCACAUUGAGUUGAAAACAUAAUUUUGUAUUGGAUGAAAAAGACGAAUGUGGUCCUUCAGUAAUUAACUGAGUGCCACUGAUCCUUCUAACAGAGGGAAGCAUGUCCCAUCGAUAAACUAAGCUCAUGGGCAAUCAGUAACGCACAGAGUUAGUCAUGCUGAGAUGAUAUUUGACUAUGACUGAGAAAUCUCCACUUCAGACAAAGGCAAAUGCAUUUAUCACUUGUCAGUGCUCCGGUCUCCACACCCUUGCUAUCUCAGGGCACAUGUGUUUACUAUUACCUACUAGAUCUGUCUCUUAAAGUAUGGUCGUGCUGCCUGGCCAUUUCAUUUAUCCAGUAGUCCUUGGAUUGAUCAGUUUUUCCAGAUGAAAAAAAUAUAUGUACCAUGUUGGUCACAGAGGUUUCACAAAUCUAUUUCACAAAUAUAAUCGUCAGAUGAUGAUUUCCUCCAAAUCUCUACAAGUCCCCUAUCACCGUUAUUUCAAUAAAGGUGGCACAGGGACCGCAUUGCUCUGGCAGUUCCCACCAUCCCACACCCCGGCCCCCACUCCCACUAACAUUCCAGAAGCUAUAUCCCUUCACUUACAGGUUAUCACUGAUUUUUUUAAGUGUGCAUUUCUAGCUCUGACUGUUGGAUUGCAUUAGAAUCUCGAUCCACAUAAAUGGGAAAAAGCCAACCGGUAAUUAUG